CAGCACCUCAAGUGGUCAGGAUGAUUAUUGGGCCUAAAGCAUCCGUAGCCGGCGCUGUAAGUUUUCGGUUAAAUCUGUACGCUCAACGUACAGGCUGCCGGGAAUACUGCAGCGCUAGGGAGUGGGAGAGGUAGACGGUACUCGGUAGGAAGGGGUAAAAUCCUUUGAUCUAUUGAUGACCACCUGUGGCGAAGGCGGUCUACCAGAACACGUCCGACGGUGAGUGAUGAAAGCUGGGGGAGCAAACCGGAUUAGAUACCCGAGUAGUCC
rnacentral:rRNA from 1 species